AAUAGAUACCCUGGUAGUCCACGCCCUAAACGAUGUCGACUAGGUGUUGGGGAAGGAGACUUCCUUAGUACCGCAGCUAACGCGUGAAGUCGACCGCCUGGGGAGUACGGUCGCAAGAUUAAAACUCAAAGGAAUUGACGGGGACCCGCACAAGCGGUGGAUGAUGUGGAUUAAUUCGAUGCAACGCGAAGAACCUUACCUACCCUUGACAUGUACGGAAGUCCGCUGAGAGGUGGGUGUGCCCGAAAGGGAGCCGUAACACAGGUGCUGCAUGGCUGUCGUCAGCUCGUGUCGUGAGAUGUUGGGUUAAGUCCCGCAACGAGCGCAACCCUUGCCAUUAGUUGCCACAUUCAGUUGGGCACUCUAAUGGGACUGCCGGUGACAAACCGGAGGAAAGUGGGGAUGACGUCAAGUCCUCAUGGCCCUUAUGGGUAGGGCCUCACACGUCAUACAAUGGCGCAUACAGAGGGUUGCCAAACCCGGCGAGGGGGGANCCGAAUCCCAGAAAGUGCGUCGUAGUCCGGAUUGGAGUCUGCAACUCGACUCC
rnacentral:rRNA from 1 species